ACUCUAGGCAAUGAAUAUCUCGGCUCUCGCAACGAUGAAGAACGUAGCGAAAUGCGAUACUUGGUGUGAAUUGCAGAAUCCCGUGAACCAUCGAGUCUUUGAACGAAAGUUGCACCCCAAGCCUUCUGCCGAGGGGCGUCGCCUGGUUGUCACAAAUCAUCGUCCCCCCAUCCUCUCAAGGAUAUGGGACGGAAGCUGAUCUCUCGUGUGUUACCGCACGCGGUUGGCCAAAAUCCAAGCUAAGGACGCCAGGAGCGUCUUAACAUGCGGUGGUGAAUUCAAUUCUCGUCAUAUAGUCAGACAUUCCGGUCCAAAAGCUCUUGAUGACCCAAAGUCCUCAAUGCGACCCCAGGUCAGGCGGGAUCAUCCGCUGAGUUUAAGCAUAUCAAUAAGCGGAGGAAAAGAAACUAACAAGUAUUCCCUUAGUCACGGCGAGCAAACCGGGAAGAGCCCAGCUUGAAAAUUGGACGUCUUCGGCGUUCGAAUUGUAGUCUGGAGAAGCGUCCUCAGCGACGGACCGGGCCAAAGUUCCCUGGAAAGGGGCGCUAGAGAGGGUGAGAGACCUAUCGUGCCCGGACCUUGUUGCACCACAAGGCGCUGUCUACGAGUCGAGUUGUUUGGGAAUGCAGCCUCAAUCGGGCGGUAAAUUCCGUCCAAGGCAAAAUAUGGGCGAGAGACCGAUAGCGAACAAGUACCGCGAGGUAAAGAUGAAAAGGACUUUGAAAAGAGAGUCAAAGAGUGCUUGAAAUUCUCGGGAGGGAAUCGGAUGGAGGGCGGCGAUUCGUCCCGGUCGGAUGCAGAACAGAGAAAUCCGGUCUGCCGAUUGAUUCGGGUCGUGGCCCGACACGGAUUAAGGUGGUGACCUAAGUCCGGGCUUUUGUUACGCCUCGGAGACGUCACUGUCUUAAUCGUGGUCUGCAGCACGUGCCUCACGGCGUGCCUCGGCAUCUGCGUGCUCAGGGCGUCGGCCUUUGGGCUCCCCAUUUGACCCGUCUUGAAACACGGACCAAGGAGUCUGACAUGUGUGCGAGUCAACGGGUGAGUAAACCCAUAAGUUGAAAGGAAGCUGAUUGGCAUGCCUGUCGAGACCCAAAACUUGAUCUUCUGAGAAGGGUUCGAGUGUGAGCAUGCCUGUCGAGACCCAAAAGAUGGUGAACUAUGCCUAAGCGGGGCGAAGCCAGAGGAAACUCUGGUGGAGGCCCGCAGCGAUACUGACAUGCAAAUCGUUCGUCUUCCUUGGGUAUAGGGGCGAAAGACUAAUCGUUCGUCUGAUGGUGGUCGCUGUAAAACCUAGGGCACAAGCCCGUGCGGAGUGGCCGUCGGUGCAGAUCUUGGUGGUAGUAGCAAAUAUUGAAAUGAGAACUUUGAAGCCCGAAGAGGGGAAAGGUUCCACGUGAACGGCACUUGCACAUGGGUUAGUCGAUCCUAAGAGUCGGGGGAAACCCGUCUGAUAGCGCUUAUGCGCGAAUUUCAAAAGGGGAUCCGGUUAAAAUUCCAGAACCGGGACGUGGCGGUUGACGGCAACGUUAGGAAGUCCGGAGACAUCAGCGGGAAUUUCGGAAAGUGUUAUCUUUUCUGUUUAACAGCCUGCCCACCCUGGAAACGGCUCAGCCGGAGGUAGGAUCCAGAGGCUGGAAGAGUACCGCACGUCGCGUGGUGUCCGGUGCAUUCCCGGCGGCCCUUGACAAUCUGGAGGACUGAGUGCCGCUCACGCCCAAUCGUACUCAUAACCGCAUCAGGUCUCCAAGGUGAACAACCUCUGGUCGAUGGAACAAUGUUGGCAAGGGAAGUCGACAAAAUGGAUCUGUAACUUUGCGAAAAGGGUUGGCUCUGAGGGUUGGGUUCGGGGGUCCCAGUUCCAAACCCGUCGACUGUUGGUGGGCUGCUUGAGCUGCUCACGUGGCGAGAGCGGACCGCCUCAUGUCGGCCGGGGGACGGACUGGGAACGGCUCUUUCGGGAUCUUUCCCCCGGCGUCGAACAGCCAACUCAGAACUGGUACAGACAAGGGGAAUCCAACUCUUUAAUUAAAACAAAACAUUGAGAUGGUCCCUGCGGAUGCUAACGCAAUGUGAUUUCUGCCUAGUGCUCUGAAUGUCAAAGUGAAGAAAUUCAACCAAGCGCGGGUAAACGGCGGGAGUAACCAUGACUCUCUUAAGGUAGCCAAAUGCCUCAUCAUCUAAUUAGUGACACACAUGAAUGGAUUAACGAGAUUCCCACUGUCCCUGUCUGCUAUCCAGCAAAACCACAACCAAGGGAACGGGCUUGGCAGAAUCAGUAGGGAAAGAAGACUGUAACACCCAAAACCGGCCUCUCGACGAAACUGGACCCGUUUUCUACUUAAUCAAUCCUUUGCUUGUUUGAUUCAUUUUAAGUCUUUCAUUUACCAAGUCAUGUUUGAAUCUGAGGUUCAAAAACAAUUGAACGGAAAGCACAGCGGAAUAUAAAUGUGUAUAAAAUGUAUUACUUAGAAACAUGAGAUCCGAUACACAACUUCUUAAUCGUUUCAUAGACAAUCACUAGUUCAUCCCUAGCAUCAUCAAACCACACGUUACACAGCCUCUCAGUGACCGAGCCUUCACGGCUCCUUGGCUUGACCAGAACCAUCCUUAGUUCCUGAAACCACAACCAGAUAAGCAUUAAUCAUAACCGAGAAUAGAACUGGUCGAUUCUACAAUGCUUGGCUUGGUUCCUAGAACAUAGAUAAAUCUCGGACAAUAUACUUAUAAAAAGAUAUGAACCUGCCUACCGAAUCCUAAGUCAUUAAACCAACCACCCUUGACUUAGAAUAAGAUAGACAGUCCAGAAUAGAUAAACAAAAUACAUGAACAGUCCAAUCGUCCCAAGACCAAUCCGUCCCAUCCGAUAAAAUCUAGGUGCGACCGGCCUAGAUGAAGUCCGCUCAAUGCCCCAACGGACUUCCUUACCUGAUCCGGCCUUGGGCCUGGAUCCAACGGCCGAGUAAGCCUCACGCCCAAUCCGGUUAGGCCAAACGGCCGAUCGGACCAUGCGACUCUUACCCUGGCUUAAACGAACCGUGUACUUGUCUUGAAGGACAAGACAUGGUCUGAUCCCUAAGGAACGGACACGACCUGUCUCAUCAGGCACCGUUUGGAACAUGCACCCCUUCGGUCCUUGGUACCUCUUGGCCCUCGUACCCCUU
rnacentral:rRNA from 1 species